AUACUAUACAAAAUGAAAAACCCUCCAUUUGGUUACACCCAAUGAUGCAAUCAUUGACCUCAUGACCCUAUAUAAACAGGAAGUACGGGGCGGCCCUUCCGAUAUACCUGUCUUAAAUAUAGGACCUGAAUAAACAACAUGGACACCAUGUAUUUCGUGUGGGCGGCUGGAAACUACCUACAGGGUUAAACGGGAGGCCCAGUGAGGAUCAUCCACUCGUGGACACGGCUGCAAAAGUCUCUGCAACACCAGUGCUGGAGGAGGCGCAGUAGGAGAAGGAGAAAACAGUAUGAGGUGGUCCGACCUGAGCACAAGGUGUUUUCAGUGACGUGUGGCGGUUGCAGGACAUGUGACAGCCUGAUGGUGUUCCUGUUGUCGAGUCUGAGCUUGGCCAGCAGCCAGUCUGUGAUGACCGGCUUCAUCGGUGAUGAGGUCCUCCUGCCCUGCGUCUACUCUGAAAAGCUGUCCGAGCCGGUCAAGGCCUUCUGGAGGGACAAGGAUGACCAAGUUGUGUUGGACAUCAUCAACAGCAGAGAGGAUAAAAUAGAUGCGAAGUUUAAAGGUCGUGUGGUCAGCUUCCCAAACCAAUACAAGACUGGAAACCUCUCCAUCAUCAUAAAGGACC